rnacentral:rRNA from 1 species
UCAACUAUUAGGCUUCGGGGAGUACUGCCAGACUGAACCGGGAGAGGUAAGAGGUACUACAGGGUAGGAGUGAAAUCUUGUAAUCCCUGUGGGACCACCUGUGGCGAAGGCGUCUUACCAGAACGGGUUCGACGGUGAGGGACGAAAGCUGGGGGCACGAACCGGAUUAGAUACCCGGGUAGUCCCAGCCGUAAACGAUGCUCGCUAGGUGUCAGGCAUGGCGCGACCGUGUCUGGUGCCGCAGGGAAGCCGUGAAGCGAGCCACCUGGGAAGUACGGCCGCAAGGCUGAAACUUAAAGGAAUUGGCGGGGGAGGCACAACAACGGGUGGAAGCCUGCGGUUUAAUUGGACUCAACGCCGGACAACUCACCGGGGGCGACAGCAAUAUGUAGGCCAAGCUGAAGACUUUGCCUGAAUCGCUGAGAGGAGGUGCAUGG